UAGACGACGCUGGCGGCGUGCCUAAUACAUGCAAGUCGAGCGAAUCUUUGGGAGCUUGCUCCCAUUGGUUAGCGGCGGACGGGUGAGUAACACGUGGGCAACCUGCCUGUAAGACUGGGAUAACUUCGGGAAACCGGAGCUAAUACCGGAUAAUUCUUUUCCUCUCAUGAGGAAAAGCUGAAAGUCGGUUUACGCUGACACUUACAGAUGGGCCCGCGGCGCAUUAGCUAGUUGGUGAGGUAACGGCUCACCAAGGCGACGAUGCGUAGCCGACCUGAGAGGGUGAUCGGCCACACUGGGACUGAGACACGGCCCAGACUCCUACGGGAGGCAGCAGUAGGGAAUCUUCCACAAUGGACGAAAGUCUGAUGGAGCAACGCCGCGUGAGCGAUGAAGGCCUUCGGGUCGUAAAGCUCUGUUGUUAGGGAAGAACAAGUACCGGAGUAACUGCCGGUACCUUGACGGUACCUAACCAGAAAGCCACGGCUAACUACGUGCCAGCAGCCGCGGUAAUACGUAGGUGGCAAGCGUUGUCCGGAAUUAUUGGGCGUAAAGCGCGCGCAGGCGGUCCUUUAAGUCUGAUGUGAAAGCCCACGGCUCAACCGUGGAGGGUCAUUGGAAACUGGGGGACUUGAGUGCAGAAGAGGAAAGCGGAAUUCCACGUGUAGCGGUGAAAUGCGUAGAGAUGUGGAGGAACACCAGUGGCGAAGGCGGCUUUCUGGUCUGUAACUGACGCUGAGGCGCGAAAGCGUGGGGAGCAAACAGGAUUAGAUACCCUGGUAGUCCACGCCGUAAACGAUGAGUGCUAAGUGUUAGGGGGUUUCCGCCCCUUAGUGCUGCAGCUAACGCAUUAAGCACUCCGCCUG
rnacentral:rRNA from 1 species